rnacentral:rRNA from 1 species
CCUACGGGUGGCAGCAGUGAGGAAUAUUGGUCAAUGGGCGAGAGCCUGAACCAGCCAAGUCGCGUGAGGGAUGACGGUCCUACGGAUUGUAAACCUCUUUUGUCAGGGAGCAAUUAGGUCCACGCGUGGGCUUAGCGAGAGUACCUGAAGAAAAAGCAUCGGCUAACUCCGUGCCAGCAGCCGCGGUAAUACGGAGGAUGCGAGCGUUAUCCGGAUUUAUUGGGUUUAAAGGGUGCGUAGGCGGAAUAUCAAGUCAGCGGUAAAAAUUCGGGGCUCAACCCCGUCGAGCCGUUGAAACUGGUGUUCUGGAGUGGGCGAGAAGUAUGCGGAAUGCGCGGUGUAGCGGUGAAAUGCAUAGAUAUCACGCAGAACUCCGAUUGCGAAGGCAGCAUACCGGCGCCAAACUGACGCUGAGGCACGAAAGCGUGGGUAUCGAACAGGAUUAGAUACCCUUGUAGUC